UACGUAGGGGGCUAGCGUUGUCCGGAAUCAUUGGGCGUAAAGCGCGUGUAGGCGGCCCGGUAAGUCCGCUGUGAAAGUCGGGGGCUCAACCCUCGGAUGCCGGUGGAUACUGUCGGGCUCGAGUACGGAAGAGGCGAGUGGAAUUCCUGGUGUAGCGGUGAAAUGCGCAGAUAUCAGGAGGAACACCAAUUGCGAAGGCAGCUCGCUGGGACGUUACUGACGCUGAGACGCGAAAGCGUGGGGAGCAAACAGG
rnacentral:rRNA from 1 species